AAUGCCAAAAUAAAUGGGGCAUGUAAAAUUAUUUGGGUAUGACUUUUGGUGUGGAGGAGGCUGGUUCCAUGUGGAACUCUUCCAUAAAACCAAAUAAAAUUAACUAAUUAAUUAGAUAGUUCAAACCUAACCACAUUAGGUCAAGACAACAAGGUAGGUUAGCACAAACACCUUUGCACUGAAUCCAAUUGGAAACUUAGGUUAAUUCAUGUGC
rnacentral:lncRNA from 1 species